CCAGUUCAAAUCUGGGUGUCGCCU
rnacentral:tRNA from 17 species